CUCUCUCUCUCUCUCUUGCUUAGAAUGAGAGGGGUAGGGAUAUAUUAGGAAAUGAGGAUGACACAAAAACCAAAACAAAAUUCUUUUUCUUUUUCAUCAAAGAAAGAGGAGCGAUUGAGAGUGGAGUUGGGAGCUGAAAAGGAGAAGUCAUUCAGCACAAUCCAUUAAGGCUGGGGAUAGUCAGAAAUAGCAUGAAAGGAUGGCUACAAUGCAAUGAAGACUCAGCCCAGUUAGAUAAGAAGAAUUCUUGUUGGAUCCAGUCUGCCGGGUUUCCUGGCCCCCUUUAGUGGCUGCUGGGGAAGAGGAGGGGAGGAGGCAGAUGCUGAGAGUUUCCAAGAGCUGAGAACUAGCAGGCUAUAAACAAAGGAAGGCCAAGGGGCCAAAGGACUCAGGGUCAGUGUGUUGUUGACCUGGUUAACUUUGAGCUAAGGCUCUAAAAGGGAGGGCGGCCGGGGGGGGGGGGGGGUGAUGCAGGGACUAGAGCAGAGGUUCUUAGCCUGAGGUCCAUGAACCCUCAAGGGAUCUGGGGGCAGAUUUCAGAAAGUCUAUGAACUUGGAUAGGGGGAAAACCCCACAUCUGCCUUUCCACUAGCCUCUAACUGAAAUAUACUAUUUCCUUCCGUUAUGAUUUUAAAAUAUAGCAUUUCCUCCCAUUUUGCCUUUUUAAACCAUGUUCCCGAGUCCAUAGGCUUUAGCAGGCUGCCAGAGAGAUCCAUGAUACAAGAAAGCGUGAGGACUCCUGAGCCAGAUGCCAGAGGGAAAAGGAAAGAGACUGGAAAGAGAUGGGCGCCCGUGAUGAGGAGGGCAGAAUUCCUGGAUACCCUAUGAUGGAGAGAAGGGUUUCAAGGAGUCCUAGAGACCUGGAGAAGAGAGCUGUUGAACGGCCAGAAACGGUGAUGCUCUGGUCAGUGGACAGAUGGACCUGGCGUCUUUCCCAGCUCUAAAACCCUCUCUUGUGUGUUCUAAGAUUCCAGGCUGACACUCUA